ensembl:snRNA LOC120102046 U1 spliceosomal RNA
AUACUUAAUUAUGGCAGGAGAGAUGUCAUGAUCAAGAGAGUGGUUUGCCCAGGGUGAAGCUCAUCCUUUGUGUGCUGACCCCCAUGAGGUUCCCAAAUGUGAGGAAACUCAACUGCACAAUUUGUGGCAGUGGAAGCCUAUAUUCACACUUUCCCU